UACUAAAAUUAGAUCCAUUUCUAUUGUUAAAAAUUGCCUUGAUUGAUAGCACCUACAUGUACCUCAUUUUGACAUACAGGGAUCAAUUUUUAACAGUAAAAAUAGAUGAUAGUUUUAACA
rnacentral:pre_miRNA from 1 species